AGCCGCUGCGCUAAGAAACUGAAAAUACUCGAGAAUGUUGAUCGGAGUCGUGCAGGUCGUUUGCCGGGGCCCGCUUGGAACGCGGGAGU
rnacentral:sRNA from 1 species